rnacentral:lncRNA from 1 species
GACCUUUUGCUGCCAAAAUUUUAGAGCAGAUACGAUGAAAUAGAAAAUCUAGAACAAUAAUCCUCAAGCAAGCUACAGACUAGAAACCCGGACCGAAAGCGGUAUCCCCGAACAGACCUAUCUCUACUGGGUUUGGAUGAUGGUUUUUAAGCUGUUUUCACACUGGUUUGGGGUUAUUUCAGGUCUAUUUUUAGUCUUUCGGGUCCUACAAAUCUCGUCCAAUUCUAUUUUUGUUUUGUUAUGUAGGUGUUAUAUAAGAGAGAGAGAGAGUGUGUGUGUGUGAAUUGUAUAUUACAGUGAAGAAGAGAGUGAAGGGGAAUUUAGUUUGUUGAGCUCUUAGCUUUAGGAAUUUUGGAAUUAGUUCUACUUAAGGUCAUUUUUGUAUAGGAACGACCGGCCUUUUGUGCAGAAGGGUGUAGAAAUUCUUUUUAGGGUCUUAG